rnacentral:rRNA from 1 species
AUUGAACGCUGGCGGCAGGCCUAACACAUGCAAGUCGAGCGGAUGAAGGGAGCUUGCUCCUGGAUUCAGCGGCGGACGGGUGAGUAAUGCCUAGGAAUCUGCCUGGUAGUGGGGGAUAACGUCCGGAAACGGGCGCUAAUACCGCAUACGUCCUGAGGGAGAAAGUGGGGGAUCUUCGGACCUCACGCUAUCAGAUGAGCCUAGGUCGGAUUAGCUAGUUGGUGGGGUAAAGGCCUACCAAGGCGACGAUCCGUAACUGGUCUGAGAGGAUGAUCAGUCACACUGGAACUGAGACACGGCCCAGACUCCUACGGGAGGCAGCAGUGGGGAAUAUUGGACGAUGGGCGAAAGCCUGAUCCAGCCAUGCCGCGUGUGUGAAGAAGGUCUUCGGAUUGUAAAGCACUUUAAGUUGGGAGGUAGGGCAGUAAGUUAAUACCUUGCUGUUUUGACGUUACCAACAGAAUAAGCACCGGCUAACUUCGUG